UAAAAGCCCAGAUAUUACAUAUCCACCAGCUCAAAAACACCAAUAACAUCAUAUCAAAUCCCUCUCUCGCUCACCUAUUUAGGAAGAGAGUUACGAAUCUUCUCUUCAAGCCCAACACGUUAGUUCGAGGAAGCUGCAUAAAGCAUACAAUUAACCUAAUAAAAAAAAACAUUUUAUCAAUUUUGAUUACUUUGAGAGAGAGCGAAGAUAGUUAUGGCCACGGAAAGUGGGACUGGCAGCGGCGGAGGAAGUGGCGGCAUUCACGUAUCCGUAGAUACUAGCGAGCAACUUCUGCCUCCAACGGCGUCAUCUUGGACAUUAGAUCUCGACAAGUUUCGUCUUCGUCAAGGGAGAAGCUCUCACACUCCUAGUGGCUUUCCACCUCCUCCUCCUUCUCAUCAUCAUUACCGUGAUGGUUCUCGCUUGUCUUUACAUCGUCUGCUUCCGACCCCAAGGAAGCAACGCAAGGUUUCAGAAUAUUACAAAAAAACAAGAAAGUCUCCUUGAAGGUUACGAUGAGAUGGAGACCAUGGCGGAGUUGGGUUAUUUCCCUGGAAAUGCUACAGAGGAUGAAAUGAAGCAGCUGGCAAAGAGUGAGAGAAUGGCAAUUCAUAUUUCAAAUAUAGCUAACAUGGUGCUUUUUGCAGCAAAGGUUUUUGCUUCUACUGAAAGCAAAUCAUUGGCAGUAAUUGCCUCAACACUAGACUCUCUCUUGGAUCUCUUGUCGGGGUUUAUUUUGUGGUUCACUUCCCUUGCCAUGAAAAAGCCAAACCACUAUUACUAUCCCAUUGGAAAGAAGCGGAUGCAACCAGUGGGUAUCAUUGUUUUCGCAUCUGUGAUGGCAACUCUUGGCUUACAGAUCCUGCUAGAGUCUGGUCGGCAAAUUGUUGCAAAGGUGGGACCUAAAAUGGACAAAGAAGAGGAGAAAUGGAUGAUAGGGAUAAUGGUUUCUGUCACCGUGGUGAAGUUUCUGCUAAUGACGUACUGCCGGAGAUUCAAGAAUGAAAUAAUUAGAGCCUACGCUAAAGAUCAUUUCUUUGAUGUGAUAACAAAUUCGGUUGGUCUUGUAACUGCUGUCCUCGCCGUCCGAUACUUCUGGUGGAUUGAUCCUACUGGAGCUAUAAUAAUAGCACUGUUCACCAUCAGCACUUGGGCAAGGACAGUGAUUGAGAAUGUAAAUUCACUAAUAGGAAGAACAGCUCCUCCGGAAUUUCUAGCAAAGUUAACUUUUCUAAUAUGGAAUCACCACCAAGAGAUUAAGCACAUUGACACAGUGAGAGCAUACACUUUUGGCACUCAUUAUUUUGUGGAGGUUGAUAUUGUGUUGCCAGAAGACAUGCUUUUAAACCAGGCACAUAAUAUUGGUGAAACUCUUCAAGAGAAGCUUGAACAACUCCCUGAAGUUGAGAGGGCUUUUGUGCAUAUAGAUUUUGAGUUUACUCAUAGGCCUGAACAUAAAUCAAAGGUCUAAUGUUGAUGCUGGUGAGUAA
rnacentral:misc_RNA from 1 species